AUAACGAUAUGGUACAACAGAUAAAAUGUUUGAAGAAAUAAUAACUGAAUGCAAUAAAUCCACACAAGAAGUUUGAUGACCCCCUAGCAAGAAUACCCAAACACACACACAUGAAUAAAGCACAAGGCACAUCAUCAGUGUACUGAAACUAAUGAUAAAGAAAAUAUCUUGAAAGUAACAAGAGGAAAAUUAAGACAUAUUUUAUACAAAAGAAAAAUAAAAGAAUGACAGUGAUGUCUCAGAAAAUAUGAAUGUAUGGCAACACCAUCUUUAAAGUGCAGAAGAAAAACAGUUGUCAACUUAUAAUUCUAUAUUUCACAAAAAUCUCUAUCAAAAUGAAGAGGAAAUAAAGACUUCCUAGACUUUAACAAAAGGUUUAAAAAAAACUGAAUUUUACAAAUGUUUAGGCAGAAGCAAAUUAAUAUCAGAUAAAAGUUUAGAUUUACACAUGGAAUUAGGAAAACUGAGAAUAGUACGCAUCUAAAAACUAAAUGAUUUUCUCAUUUUCCUGUUGCUUUUAAAAAACAAUUGACUGUUAAAGCAAAAAUAAUAAUAAAAUACUUUUAGAUUUUUUAACCUAAGCAGAAAUAAUGAGUCUAACAUUAAAGUCUAAAGGAGCUACAAUAAAGAUCAAAUUAAAUUCAAAGAAAGUCAAAGGAAAUAAAUAGGAAAAAAGUAGAAAUCAAUGAAAUAGAAAACACAGAACAGCAGAGAAAAUCAAAGAAGUCAGUGGCUGAUUAUUUGGAAUACUCAAUAAAAUUAAUAAACCUAUGGCAAGCCUGGGAUAAAGACAAAAAUAAAUAUGCAGAUUUCAAAAAAAAGGAAAAAUGGAGAAAUUAUAGAUUUUACAGAUAUGAAAGGAAUGGUAAGAAAACAUCAUGUAAAAUUAUGACAGUAAAUGUGACAACUUAGAUGAGAUGAAAAAUUUUUUUGAAAUGUAAAAAUUAUUGUUAUCAGGCAGGUGCAAUGGAUUACACCUGUAAUCCUAACACUCUGAAAGGCCAUAGCAGGAGGAACACUUGAGCCCAGGAGUUUCAGACCAGCCAGGGCAACAUAGUGAAACCUUGUUGACAGUGGUGGCAGCCCGUCUGGAUCAGCUGCUGCGGGGAUGCCAGCUGCAGUGGGGGAGGUGUGGCUGGGGCUUUGUGCUCUGUGGAGCCAGAAGGAGCUGGGGACAGGUGGGAGCCCAGCCCCCUAACAAGUUGGUGUGGAAGGAGCCCUGCGCUCCUGGGUGCAGCUGCAGUCACCCAGCUGCAGCUCCAGACCUGGGCAUACCUGCACUCUUGGGGGCCUGGGAAGACCCCCUAUCCUCACAAGCUCAGAAGUGUCUGCUGCUGCUCUCUACCUUCUCUCCACUCCUGGCAGUCACUCCAAUUUCAGAGCAAAAUUGUGGCUGAGGCUGGGCAUUGUCACAACCUGGCUGGGUAUGUGCAUGCUUGUGGCAUUGCUGACACACCAGCCCCCACCACUGUCUCAUCCCCUCCAAACUUUGGGUACUGAGGAGUGUGGGAUGUAGUCUGGUUGUGGGGACAGCCUGGCAAGGGCCUGUAGGUGCCCUUCGGUACAAACAGCCUGGAUUCCGUGGAUGGCAUGUUGAUAUCAGGAGGCAGACAGUUCCUGGGCAGAAAGGGGCAGGUCCCCAGUGAAACCUCAACUUCAAGCCAGGGGUGGCCUGAAGCCUGGGGGCCUGGCUGCAAGUUCUGGGUAGAGUCCACAGCUGGAGUGAGAACUUAUGGUGCUUUUUCCGGACCCGCCCAUGGACCAAUCAGCAUGCACUUCCUCCUUUCUGAGCUCAUAAAAAGUGCUGGACUCAGCCAGACUCACACAGACUUUGCACUACCAGCUACAGGAAGGAGCUACCCACUUCACGUCUCGUCAGCUCAUUGGGAUGACCUGCCUAUGGAAAGGAGCUACCCACUCAGGGUCUCCUCCUUGCUGAGAGCUGUACACUGUUUUAUCUGACCUGCCUUUGGAUAGGAGCUAUCCACUCUAAGUCUCCUGAUAGCUGUUCUGUUGCACAAUAAAGCUGUUCUCCACCUUGCUCAUCCUCCAGUUGUUCACAUACCGCAUUCUUCCUGGAUGCAGGACAAGAACUCAGGACCUACCGAAUGGAAAGACUGAAAGAGCUGUAACAAAAAUGGCUGAAAUACCCACCCCACUCACAACGUUGUGGGCACUGAGAAGAACAGACUAGAGAAAGAAGAGAGAGAAUAGAGAAAGAGAAGAGCUGCAGCCCUUUGGGGUGCACAGACCUAGGAGCUCCCUGAGCUAGGGCUGUGACACCUUCUUUGGAGCCCUGCAGUUUCUGGAAUCUCCAAGCUUUUGGGCACCACUCCAUUCCCCAGUGCCCACAGUGUAAGCUGCUUGCAGUACACCUGGUCCAGCCAGAAGCUUGCAAGGAGCUGGUGCCUAUGCCAGCACCUGAAGCUGCCUGUCCCACCGCAGCUGGCACACCUGGCUGUGCACAGUGGCUAGACUCUGUGCUUGCUCUCACACCCCUUAGUGCUCUGCACCUGGCUAACCCUUGACAGGCAUGGGAUCUGGGCUGGUAGCACAAGCUGAGUGCAGCCUGCUGGGCCAAGUGGGCAGAAGGAGCCCAGCAGGCCUGAGCAAAACUCAAGCAAAGGUGCCACUGGCCACAGAGGUUUUGAGCUGGAAAAGUGACAUUAUAAUGAUACUGUGACACCGUCUCUAAAAAAAAAAUAAAAAAAUUAGUCAAGCAUGGUGGCACAUGCCUAUAAUCCCAGCUACUUGGGAUGGUGAAGCAGAAGAGGAUCACUUCAGUCCAGGAGUUUGAGUCUGCAGUGAGUGAGCUGAUUGUGCCACUGCACUCCAGCCUGGGCAACAGAGUGAGAUCCUGACUCAAAAAAAAAAAAAAAAAAAAAGAAAAGAAAUUACUAAGGUAUCAAUAUUUACUUCAGGAGGCAUAGAAUAUCUGAAUAGCCCUGUAUCUAAUAAAGAAAUUUUAUUGUAAGAAAAUUCUAAGCUUUAGUGGUUUCACCCAUGAAUUCUAACAAACAUGGGAGAAUGAAAUAAUGCCAGUGUGACAUACCUUUCUCAGAAAGUAAAAGAGAAGGAAUGAACACUAACUGAUUGUAUGAGGCCAAAAUUACCCAGACACACAGUAGACAAAGAUAUUUGAAAAAAAGUAAACAACAGACCAAGAUCAAACAUGAAGAGUGAUGCUGACAUUAUUAUGAAUAUACUUAAAAAUUACAUACAAUAAAAUAUCAAAAAGGUAAUACCACGGACAAGUGAAUUUUAUCCUAAAAUGCAGUCAGUUUAACUGAAAAUCAAUGUAAUUCAUUAAAUUAAUAAAAAUCCACAUGAUCAUCUCAGUAGGAAAAAAUAUUAUUUGACAAAAUGUAAUGCACAUUCAUGUUAAUAACUCCCAGAAGCUAGGAAGAGAAUAUUUGCUAUCUGCUAAAACUAAAUUAUAAACAUAUCUACAGCUAACAUUUUACUUAAUGAUCAAAAAUAAAUGCUUUCUACUUAAGAAAGAAUGCAAGAGUAUUGUAACAUAACACUUCUUUAAUAUGUUACCACAAAUUUGGUAUGUAAAACAAUACAAAUCCAUUAUUUUACAGUCCAGGAAAUCAGAAGUCUAAAAUGGGUCUGGGGGUGGUGCUCCUUCCGAAGGCUCUUGGGGAGAGUCUGUUGAGUUGCCUUUUUCAGUUCUUAAAUUCUGUCUGCAUCCUGUGGUGCAUGACCCCUUACUUCAUUUUCAAAGAGCAGCAUAGCACCUUCUGCUUCUCUGACCUCCUGUCUCUCUCUUAUAGGGAACCUUAUGAUUAAAUCAGGCCCACUUGGAUAAUCCAGGAUAAAUCUCCUAUCUCAGAAUCCUUAACUUGAUCAUACCUGCAAAGUCUCUUUUGAAUAUAAGACAUGUUGUUCACAGGAUUUAGGGAUUAGACUGUGAACAUCUCUGGGGGCAAUUUUUUAUCUUACCAGAGCAUGGAUGUUCAAUCUUACCACUUCUCAAUAUUGCUCUGAAUUCCCUAGCCUUUGCAAAAAAGUGAGAAAUUAAAAGAAACAAAAUGCAUUUAUGUCUGUUUGUACAUGAUAUAAUUGUGAGCAGAGAACAGCCUGAGAGAUCGAUGAAAAAGCUACAUAGUGGCAGGAUGCACUAUUUAUGCAUAAAAAUAAAUUAUAUUUUUAUGUAUUCAGAAUAUACAACCAAAAAUUGAAAUUGAGAAACAAUAGUCUUUUCAAUAGUGUAAAUUAUCGACUCUUCAGAAAUAAAUUUAACAGAAUAUGUACAAGUCCUUUACAUAGAAGACUACAAAGUUUUGCUGAAGCAAGAUAAAGAUCUAAAUAAAUUGAGAGCAAUACCAUGUUCUUAGAUUCCAAAACAUGUAAUUAUCCCCAAAUUAUAUAUUUAACUCAAUUCCAAUAAAAACCCUAGAAAACUUUCUUGUAAAAAUUGACAACCUAUUUGUAAAAUUAAUGAGGAAUUUGUAAAAAAAAUUAAUAACAAAUUUGUAAUAGCCAAAGAAAUUUUGACAUAAAAGAAUCACUAUCUGAUUACCUUCCUAAAUGGCUCUAUUAAUUAAACUAUGUGUUUAUAUAAGAAUAGAUAAUUAAUAAAAUAUAAAUCUAAUACAUGUACAGAAAUGAGUACAGAAAUAAAUAAUCAUAUAUAUGGUCAAUUGAUUGUCAAUAAAAUUGCCUAGAUAAUUCAAUGAACAAACUUUUUUUAAAAGCUAUGUUAAAAUAACUUGAUAUCCAUAUUCACAAAGUGAACCUCAGCUUUUGUCUUGAAAUAGAUACAAAAAUAAAUGUAAUCUAUAAAAAGUAAAUGAUAUACCUAAAUGUAAGAACAAAAAAAUCCGAGAUUUCUAAAUGAAAACAGAAGAAAACAUCUUUAUGACUGUAAAGCAAUGAUUCCUAGAUGAUACACACGAGUCAAAGCUGUAAAGGAGAAAGUGAAUUAAUCGAACUUCUUCAAAAUUUAAAACUUUUGAUUUUGUUAGGCAAUGAUAAGAAUAUAAAAAGGCAAGCCCAGACUGGGAGAAAAUAUUUGCAAAUCACACAUCUAACAAAGGAUUUGUAUGUAGAGCAUAUAAAUAUUCUUAUAAUCUUAUAUUAAGACAACAUAAAACCCAAUAAAUAAAAAAUAGACAAAUGAUUUGAACACACUUCAGAAAAGAAGUAUGUUUUAACCAAAAUCUGACACCACAGCAUAGGUUAAACUAGACUAAUUAAGUUAAGAAACAGAACUUGCAAGAUUUAUUAUUCUUGCUUUAACUUUCUAAUAUUUCUUAGCUU
rnacentral:lncRNA from 10 species